GAUGAACGCUGGCGGCGUGCUUAACACAUGCAAGUCGAACGAUGAAGCCCAGCUUGCUGGGUGGAUUAGUGGCGAACGGGUGAGUAACACGUGAGUAACCUGCCCUUAACUCUGGGAUAAGCCUUGGAAACUGGGUCUAAUACCGGAUAGGAGCGUCCACCGCAUGGUGGGUGUUGUAAAGAUUUAUCGGUUUUGGAUGGACUCGCGGCCUAUCAGCUUGUUGGUGGGGUAAUGGCUCACCAAGGCGACGACGGGUAGCCGGCCUGAGAGGGUGACCGGCCACACUGGGACUGAGACACGGCCCAGACUCCUACGGGAGGCAGCAGUGGGGAAUAUUGCACAAUGGGCGCAAGCCUGAUGCAGCGACGCCGCGUGAGGGAUGACGGCCUUCGGGUUGUAAACCUCUUUCAGUAGGGAAGAAGCGAAAGUGACGGUACCUGCAGAAGAAGCACCGGCUAACUACGUG
rnacentral:rRNA from 1 species